rnacentral:lncRNA from 1 species
CUUGCUGCUGCCAUAUAGGAAGUGCCUUUCACCUCCCAAAGUGAUUCUGAGGCCUCCCCAGCCAUGUGGAACUGUAAGUCCAAUUAAACCUCUUUUUCUUCCCAGUCUCAGGUAUGUCUUUAUCAGCAGCGUGACAAUGGACUAAUACAAUGCCUUACUCAAGAUUGCAGAGCUAGUGCCAGUGUUGAAACCUGAGCAAUCUCACACCAAAUCCAGCUCAGGGAGAUUUACUAACUUAUCCAAGCAACUCUGGGUACAGUCAUUAUUUGAUUCCACUAUCACAGGCAGCUUUUUACUGUUGUGAAGUUCAACUGAGACACAGAGACCCAGAAGAGCAUUCAAGAGACUGCUAUAAUCCAGAACAUAGCACUUUAAGGCUUAUCCACUGGGAUCCUAGAACCUUUCAAAUGCUCCACUCCAUAUCCCAGCUCUAUUUCUGGACAGCAAGCCUGCUCUCCCCAAAUGGAGCUUUCACCUCCUCCCUGGGCCUUGAUCCCAAUACACAGAGGGUCAGAUGAGGUUCUGCAGACCAGAACAUUACCUCACAGUGACUUCCAGGAGGCAGGUCUCUUCGCCCCACUAGGGAGGAGAGGCCCCACUGCCCCUGCACCUGCAGCCAGGCAAGAGGAAGUUUCUUCUUUUUAAAAUCCCUCCUUGUUUCCAUAAAUCUCAGGCCUCUUAACCUUCCAAGCUCUGAAUAAAGGUACAGUGUUUCUUCUCCACAAACAGCAUACUGUGCCCCACUUCUAUCAAUGCAAGGGUCACCCAGUGCCCGUUGAAAACAGCCUUCCCAUUGAGAAUGUUCACAUUGCUUACUUUCCCUGUGGUUCUGAAUCUUCUCUCCUUGUCCAUUCAAAGUUCCAGUGAAGGUGCUGCAUUGAUAACAACUUUAGCCUCUCCAGUGUUCACAAUGGAAGGCCAGGAGAGAGAUUAUCCACAGCCCCGGGGGAAUUCUGAAGAUGGUGGGAAUGGGGUGGACCCCUGGGGCCCCAGCCGUCAGUGAGCAGCCCUGCAGAUUUAACCCCAAUAAUAUUUGAAGUCCUACUGAAGUGCCAUGUCAAAGGCAUUACAGUAGCUCUGAAGAAAAAGUAAAAUACCUUCUGAAACAACUCUGGGAAGAAGCUCACCACCCGGCCACGAUACCCACUUCUUGCUGCCAAGAAGCUUCUAGCUACACGGUUUUUCCUUCCACCCCACAGUGCAGUGGAAACAAGACCCAAGCUCUUCUCAAGGAGUAAGCACAGGACAAGUUUCCUGCUAAGUGGUCCUAAGUCAACAAGGCCAUCUGAUAGGAAUUUGAGGAGUAGUGAAUUUUAUAGGAAUAGAGGGGAAAGGACUCUUUUUCCAUGUAGGCUUCUCUUGGAGUGGGGAGAUUAGGAAAUCUCCAUGAUAUAAAAUGAUGAAAGUUCGAAUCAUUGUCACCCUACCGGAAAGACUCCAAUUUGACCUUAGUGCUUAAUCCCUUUAGUUUGAAGUGUAGCUUAAAAGUAUUUAAAUAAAAUACAGCUGCCCCCAAACUGUGAGACUGUGAGUGGGAAGGGACAUGACUGUGUACUUGGAGACCUCAGGUAUGUUGGGGGUCGGGGGCAGCCACCGGGACGGUUAGAAAACCCAAAUGAGUCUUCUAACACUCAUUUACCCAAUUUAAAGAGAACAUUUUGACAAUGUUGUGCAAAUUUUUUUGCUGCCCACUUUUAGAAACUAU